rnacentral:rRNA from 1 species
CGCACAAUCAGCGUGCCAUGUGGUUUAAUUGGAUUACGAAACCUUUGAACCUUACCUAGAUUUGACAUGUAACUGCAAUCCUUUGGGAAACCAGGGACUCCUUCGAGGGUGUUACACAGCUGCUGCAUGGUUGUCGUCAGUUCGUGUCGUGAGGCGUCGGCUUAAGUGCCGUAACGAACGCAACCCCUGUGCUAUGUUAAAUAUCCAUAGCAGACUGCCUUGGAUUUUUCCAAGGAGGAAGGAGGGGAUGACGUCAAAUCAGCAUGGCGCUUAUAUCUAGGGCUACACACAUGGCGUAAUGGGUGGGACAACGGGAUGCCAAGGCGCGAGCCGGAGCUAAUCCUUAUAAACCCAUCCUCAGUUUGGAUUGCAGGCUGCAAUUCGCCUGCAUGAAAGGGAGUUGAUAGUAAUCGCGGAUCAGCAUCACCGCGGUGAAUACGUUCUCGUUUCUU